rnacentral:rRNA from 1 species
GCGGCGUGCUUAACACAUGCAAGUCGAACGCUGAAGCACCAGCUUGCUGGUGUGGAUGAGUGGCGAACGGGUGAGUAACACGUGAGCAACCUGCCCCUGACUCUGGGAUAAGCGCUGGAAACGGUGUCUAAUACCGGAUAUGACCUAUCACCGCAUGGUGUGUGGGUGGAAAGAUUUAUUGGUUGGGGAUGGGCUCACGGCCUAUCAGCUUGUUGGUGGGGUAAUGGCCUACCAAGGCGACGACGGGUAGCCGGCCUGAGAGGGUGACCGGCCACACUGGGACUGAGACACGGCCCAGACUCCUACGGGAGGCAGCAGUGGGGAAUAUUGCACAAUGGGCGAAAGCCUGGUGCAGCAACGCCGCGUGAGGGAUGACUGCCUUCGGGUUGUAAACCUCUUUUAGUAAGGAAGAAGCCUUCGGGUGACGGUACUUGCAGAAAAAGCACCGGCUAACUACGUGCCAGCAGCCGCGGUAAUACGUAGGGUGCAAGCGUUGUCCGGAAUUAUUGGGCGUAAAGAGCUCGUAGGCGGUUUGUCGCGUCUGCUGUGAAAUCCCGGGGCUUAACCCCGGGCCUGCAGUGGGUACGGGCAGACUAGAGUGCGGUAGGGGAGAUUGGAAUUCCUGGUGUAGCGGUGGAAUGCGCAGAUAUCAGGAGGAACACCGAUGGCGAAGGCAGAUCUCUGGGCCGUAACUGACGCUGAGGAGCGAAAGCAUGGGGAGCGAACAGGAUUAGAUACCCUGGUAGUCCAUGCCGUAAACGUUGGGAACUAGAUGUAGGGCCUGUUCCACGGGUUCUGUGUCGUAGCUAACGCAUUAAGUUCCCCGCCUGGGGAGUACGGCCGCAAGGCUAAAACUCAAAUGAAUUGACGG